UACGGGGGGGGCAAGCGUUGUUCGGAAUUACUGGGCGUAAAGGGCGCGUAGGCGGGAUGGCAAGUCGGUCGUGAAAUCCUUCGGCUCAACCGAAGAACGUCGAUCGAUACUGCUGUUCUUGAGGGUUGCAGAGGAGACUGGAAUUCCCGGUGUAGCGGUGAAAUGUGUAGAGAUCGGGAGGAACACCGGUGGCGAAGGCGGCAUCCUGGACCAAUUCUGACGCUGAGGAGCGAAAGCCAGGGGAGCAAACGGG
rnacentral:rRNA from 1 species